CUUGAGGUAUGCCCUAAUGGGUUUUGUUCUAUAGACCCACAUCACUGGAAAUGCCUCAUGGAGUAAAUACAUAGUUUGCUUUACUGACAGAAUUAUGUUUAAAUCUAGAGAAAGAACUCUAAGACAGGG
ensembl:snoRNA